rnacentral:rRNA from 1 species
UACAGAGGUCCCAAGCGUUGUUCGGAUUCAUUGGGCGUAAAGGGUGCGUAGGCGGCGCGGUAAGUCGGGUGUGAAAUCUCGGAGCUUAACUCCGAAACUGCAUUUGAUACUGCCGUGCUUGAGGACUGGAGAGGAGACUGGAAUUUACGGUGUAGCGGUGAAAUGCGUAGAUAUCUGGAGGAACACCGGUGGCGAAGGCGGCAUCCUGGACCGACAUUGACGCUGAGGCGCGAAAGCCAGGGGAGCAAACGGG